CCUACGGGGGGCUGCAGUAAGGAAUUUUCCGCAAUGGGCGAAAGCCUGACGGAGCAACACCGCGUGGAGGAUGAAGGCGUUUUCGUUGUAAACUCCUUUUCUGAGGGAAUAACUCUGAAGGUACCUCAGGAAUAAGCAACGGCUAACUACGUGCCAGCAGCCGCGGUAAGACGUAGGUUGCGAGCGUUAUCCGGAAUUAUUGGGCGUAAAGCGUCAGUAGGUGGUUUGUUAAGUUGGAUGUUAAAGCUCAGAGCUCAACUCUGAACAUGUGUCCAAAACUGGCAAGCUAGAGACAGGUAGAGGCAAGUGGAAUUCUGUAUGUAGGGGUAAUAUCCGUAGAUAUACAGAGGAACACCAAAAGCGAAGGCAGCUUGCUGGACCUGUUCUGACACUCAAUGACGAAAGCGUGGGGAGCAAACGGGCUUAGAUACCCCUGUAGUC
rnacentral:rRNA from 1 species